rnacentral:RNase_P_RNA from 1 species
GCGGAGGGCUGGAUGGCCGCGCCCCGCUUGCGGGGUGAGGAAAGUCCGGACUCCAUGGGACAACGGUGCCGGGUAACGCCCGGCCGGGGCAACCCGAGGGAAAGCGCCACAGAGAUGAGACCGCCCUGUUCCGACAGGGCAAGGGUGAAACGGUGGAGUAAGAGCCCACCGCGGACCGGGCAACCGGGACGGCACGGCAAGCCCCACCGGGAGCAAUGCCAAAUAGGGGCCCCGCGCGGCAUGACCGCAGGGAUGUCUCAGCCCGAGGGGCCCGGGUUGGCAGCACGAGCGUGCCGGUAACGGUACGCCCAGAUGAAUGGCCAUCCCCGGGGGCAACCCCGGGACAGAAUCCGGCUUACAGGCCCUCCGCGCAC